rnacentral:rRNA from 1 species
UACGGGGGGAGCAAGCGUUGUUCGGAUUUACUGGGCGUAAAGGGCGCGUAGGCGGCCUGAUAAGUAGGGGGUGAAAUCCUGCGGCUUAACCGCAGGGCUGCCUUCUAAACUGUCAGGCUGGAGCACAGUAGAGGCAGGUGGAAUUCCCGGUGUAGCGGUGGAAUGCGUAGAGAUCGGGAAGAACAUCAGUGGCGAAGGCGGCCUGCUGGGCUGUUGCUGACGCUGAGGCGCGACAGCGUGGGGAGCAAACAGG